AACCUGGUUGAUCCUGCCAGUAGUCAUACGCUCGUCUCAAAGAUUAAGCCAUGCAUGUCUAAGUAAAAAUAACUCUUUACUGUGAAACUGCGAACGGCUCAUUAUAUCAGUUAUAGUUUACUUGAUAGUACCUUACUACUUGGAUACCCGUAGUAAUUCUAGAGCUAAUACAUGCAUCAACGCCCAAUCGGGCCGCGUUUAUUAGAUAGAAACCCAUAUUUUUGGUGAAUCAUAAUAACUGUGCGAAUCGCAUGGGUUUACCCCGGCGAUGAAUCAAUCAAGUUUCUGCCCUAUCAGCUUUCGAUGGUAGGGUAUUGGCCUACCAUGGCGUUAACGGGUAACGGAGAAUUAGGGUUCGAUUCCGGAGAGGGAGCCUGAGAAACGGCUACCACAUCCAAGGAAGGCAGCAGGCGCGUAAAUUACCCAAUCCUGACACAGGGAGGUAGUGACAAUAAAUAACAAUGCCGGGCUUUUUUAAGUCUGGCAAUUGGAAUGAGAACAAUUUAAAUCCCUUAACGAGGAUCAAUUGGAGGGCAAGUCUGGUGCCAGCAGCCGCGGUAAUUCCAGCUCCAAUAGCGUAUAUUAAUGUUGUUGCAGUUAAAAAGCUCGUAGUUGGAUUUCUGGUGGGAGCGGCCGGUCCGCCGCAAGGUGUGUACUUGGGUUGUCUCCUGUCAUCCUUGUGGGAACUGCUCUGGCAUUAAGUUGUCGGGGUUAGGGAACACAUCGUUUACUGUGAAAAAUUAGAGUGUUUAAAGCAGCUUAUGCCGUCGAUACAUUAGCAUGGAAUAUAAGAUAGGACUUUGGCGUCUAUUUUGUUGGUUUGCGCACCAAGGUAAUGAUUAAUAGGGAUAGUUGGGGGUAUUCGUAUUUAAUUGUCAGAGGUGAAAUUCUUGGAUUUAUGAAAGACGUACUUCUGCGAAAGCAUUUACCAAAGAUGUUUUCAUUAAUCAAGAACGAAAGUUAGGGGAUCGAAGAUGAUUAGAUACCAUCGUAGCCUUAACCAUAAACUAUGCCGACUAGGGAUUGGCGGUCGUUCAUUUAUGACUCCGUCAGCACCUUAUGAGAAAUCAAAGUCUUUGGGUUCCGGGGGGAGUAUGGUCGCAAGGCUGAAACUUAAAGGAAUUGACGGAAGGGCACCACCAGGAGUGGAGCCUGCGGCUUAAUUUGACUCAACACGGG
rnacentral:rRNA from 1 species